rnacentral:rRNA from 1 species
UGGGGAAUAUUGGACAAUGGGCGCAAGCCUGAUCCAGCCAUGCCGCGUGAGUGAUGAAGGCCCUAGGGUUGUAAAGCUCUUUCACCGGUGAAGAUAAUGACGGUAACCGGAGAAGAAGCCCCGGCUAACUUCGUGCCAGCAGCCGCGGUAAUACGAAGGGGGCUAGCGUUGUUCGGAUUUACUGGGCGUAAAGCGCACGUAGGCGGACUUUUAAGUCAGGGGUGAAAUCCCGGGGCUCAACCCCGGAACUGCCUUUGAUACUGGAAGUCUUGAGUAUGGUAGAGGGGAGUGGAAUUCCGAGUGUAGAGGUGAAAUUCGUAGAUAUUCGGGGGAACACCAGGGGCGAAGGCGGCUCACUGGACCAUUACUGACGCUGAGGUGCGAAAGAGUGGGGAGCAAACAGG